rnacentral:rRNA from 1 species
AGAACGAACGCUGGCGGCAUGCCUAAUACAUGCAAGUCGAACGAACACUUCGGUGUUAGUGGCGCACGGGUGCGUAACGCGUGGGAAUCUGCCCUUGGGUUCGGAAUAACAGUUGGAAACGACUGCUAAUACCGGAUGAUAUCGAAAGAUCAAAGAUUUAUCGCCCAGGGAUGAGCCCGCGUAGGAUUAGCUAGUUGGUGAGGUAAAGGCUCACCAAGGCGACGAUCCUUAGCUGGUCUGAGAGGAUGAUCAGCCACACUGGGACUGAGACACGGCCCAGACUCCUACGGGAGGCAGCAGGUGGGGAAAUA